UGCAGGUCUCUGUGCAGGAGGCAACCACCCCUGUCUGCAGGCUGUGCUGGGUUCUGUCUCUUCCCCACCUGAUCUGAAGUGAAGCGAAUCGAGAGUGCUGAGCCAAAUCUCAAGUGGUCUUAGCUCAGAGGGGCCUCUGGUCACUUCUGGGCGGCUUGACACUCACCAGCGGCUGGGCGCCCGGGGUACCCUGGACGGGUUAGUUACCCUGAGCUCCAGCUUCACAGUCUACCUUGACGAGGGGCGAGACUGGCUCCUACCCUCGGCAUCUGGAAGGACCGUGAGCAGGGCGUGCUGGCAUGGAUUUAAGAUUCUUCUUGCCAGGAGUGUGAGCGGCUCCUCCCUGGUAGGGCUGCGACCCUGGCUGAGAAGGCGGAGAGCAAGUGUUGAGCUGGCUGGGUGGUGCAGGGGUAUUGCACCGCCAGGUACUGGACCUCCGGGCCAGGAGUGUGCAGCCACCAGUGACCUGAGACAGGCAAAGAAGGCUGGGGGAUGCGAGGUGGGACCCUGACGGGGAACUCGCCUUUCUCUCCAGCUCUCAUGAAAGGAAUAAACUUCAGUGGGAAAUAAAAGCAGGAACACUGCUGAGACCUGUGGGAGGACUCACGGACUUCUUAGACAUCAAAUCAAACAACACAAGAUUGAUGAAGAGCUGUGACCGGGUUACCGCCCCUCACACGCUGCACUUCCGAACCAGGAAAGAACAGCCGGCCACGAGGAAAAUCAGAAAGCAGGCCUCAGCCACGGCCAAUAAUCAAGUGAUAGGGUUUGCUCCCUCUCAGUAAUAACCAAAGAUAUGCACCUUAUGGGACCAGCAGUUAGUGUAAUGGCUAUGUCGCUGGACUCCCACAUAGUCGGCCGCGGUUCAAGUCCCGGACCCGGCGGCUUAAAACUCACCCGGGCGCGUGUGCGUGCGUGCCCAAGAU